rnacentral:lncRNA from 1 species
UAUAAUUGUAAAUAAUAAUUAAUUAAUAGGUACUUGCUUGGAGUUCCUGGAAGAUUUCUCUUUUUCUUCUGUGAGGUAGGAUUAGUUGAAGAAGUGGGUAUGGAGGAAAGUUGUUGUUUCAUCUGGAUUUGGUCUUCUUCUCUUGCUCCGAAGAACAAUGGAUUUGAUGAGGAAGGGGCAGCCAUAUUCAUCAACUAAUCUCUCGAUCGAUCUUUAUGCAGCUAGCUAACUUUGUCUACCUCCUCUCUCUUGUAUAUAUAUACUCUUCAAGACAAAUGAAUCUACAAACAACAAUAUUUGACCAAAAUUACCAUCACCCACAUGAAGAUUUGAGAAGUAAGUACUUCAGUUUUCUUUUUCAAAUCCUUCUCGAGGGAACAAGAAAAUAAUUGAAAUUAAUAUAAUUGAAAAAUAGAAGAAUUUUAUUAGUUCUUCAUUACCUCCCCUUUAGAAACAGGCAACCAAUUAAGAGGAAAAGCAUAAAGUGUAUAUAUAAUAUUGAGACAGCUAAAAUCUGGAGAUGGAGAGAAGUAAAAGAGAAGAAAACAAUCAAUCCAUAUAUGGACCAAAUGCCUAUUUAGCUUCAAUGCUUCUCUGCCUGCAGUACCUUUUUGUUGUUUAUUAAUUAGUAUAUAUUAUACUACUAGAGUAUAUAAAAAAAUUCGAGGCAGUUGUAGUUCCUUUUCUUCAAUUAUUUGAUGCUAGCUAGCUAUAAUUAUAUAUGUACAUACAUACUACUAACACAUACAUACAUGUAUGCAACAUUUAUUUUUCUCUCUAUGCCAGUAUUCAUGAUUUUCUUCAUCCAAUUCCAAAAUAAUGCAAAUAAUGAUAAUAAUAAUAAUAAUAAUAGUACUAAUAAAAUUAUAGUAGUAUUUUUCACCAGAAAAAUGAGUGAGAAUUGAAUUAAUUGAGGGGAGCUGGGGACCUGGUGUUGUUGUCCAUGCAGCUCACAAGCAGAAUAAGAAGGCGUCACGUCGUGAAGCGGUGGUAAUUUGGGGCCACACCGGCCCACCCCGCCCGUAUGCCUCUUCCUUUAUCUCAUU